UUAGAAGAGAAUUUACUAUUUUAUUAUUAUUUCAUUACAUUAAUUUUGUUCCAAGCUUCUAAGAUAUAUUGUUGAAAUUAAUUGAUCUAAAUCAAUUGCUUAUUGAAAUUGUAAUAAUUAUUAGUAUUUGUAGUAGAUUAAUUAAUUUACAUGGACAUGAACUAAUUUUAACAAGUUUAGUGAAUUGUUUAAGAUACAUAUAUAAGGAAUCAAAACUAUAUAAGCAUUCAAAAGUUGUGACUACUCACCUUCUCCCUUAAAUGUAAAAAAACCUCCAAAU
rnacentral:lncRNA from 1 species